CCUACGGGAGGCAGCAGUGGGGAAUCUUGCACAAUGGAGGAAACUCUGAUGCAGCGAUGCCGCGUGAGUGAAGAAGGCCUUUGGGUUGUAAAGCUCUUUUGUAGGGGAAGAUAAUGACUGUACCCUAAGAAUAAGGUCCGGCUAACUUCGUGCCAGCAGCCGCGGUAAUACGAAGGGACCUAGCGUAGUUCGGAAUUACUGGGCGUAAAGCGCGCGUAGGCCGUUGAGUUAGUUAAUUGUGAAAUCCCAAAGCUUAACUUUGGAACUGCAAUUAAAACUGCUCGACUAGAGUUUGAUAGAGGAAAGCGGAAUACAUAGUGUAGAGGUGAAAUUCGUAGAUAUUAUGUAGAACACCAGUUGCGAAGGCGGCUUUCUGGAUCAACACUGACGUUGAGGCGCGAAAGUAUGGGUAGCAAAGAGGAUUAGAUACCCUCGUAGUCCAUACCAUAAACGAUGAUUGCUAGAUGUUGGAAAUUUAUUUUCAGUAUCGCAGCUAACGCAUUAAGCAAUCCGCCUGGGGNGUACGACCGCGAGUAAACGUUAAAGUAAGUAGAGNGUGAGAGUUGCGAGACGACACGAGGAGAGG
rnacentral:rRNA from 1 species